rnacentral:rRNA from 1 species
UUCCGGUUGAUCCUGCCGGAGGCCACUGCUAUUGGGAUCCGACUAAGCCAUGCGAGUCGAGAGGGUUCGGCCCUCGGCAGACUGCUCAGUAACACGUGGAUAAUCUACCCUUAGGUGGAGGAUACUCUCGGGAAACUGAGAAUAAUACUCCAUAGGUCUAGGAUGCUGGAAUGCACCUAGGUUGAAAGUUCCGACGCCUAAGGACGAGUCUGCGGACUAUCAGGUAGUAGUCAGGGUAAAGACCUGACUAGCCUACGACGGAUACGGGUUGUGAGAGCAAUAGCCCGGAGACGAUAUCUGAGACACGAUAUCGGGCCCUACGGGGCGCAGCAGGCGCGAAAUCUUCACAAUGUGCGAAAGCACGAUGAGGGGAUCCCAAGUGUUGGUUCGUAAGAGUCAUCUGUUUCUUUGUCUAAAAAACAGAGAGAGUAAGAGCUGGGUAAGACGGGUGCCAGCCGCCGCGGUAAUACCUGCAGCUCAAGUGGUGGCCGCUAUUAUUGGGCCUAAAACGUCCGUAGCCGGUUUAGUAAAUGCCUGGGUAAAUUGUGUAGCUCAACUAUACGAAUACCGGGUAGACUGCUAAACUUGAAACCGGGAGAGGCUAGAGGUACUCCUAGGGUAGAGGUGAAAUUCUGUAAUCCUAGGGGGACCACCAGUGGCGAAGGCGUCUAGCUAGAACGGGUUUGACGGUGAGGGACGAAGCCCUGGGGCGCAAACCGGAUUAGAUACCCGGGUAGUCCAGGGUGUAAACGCUGCUCGCUUGAUGUUAGUCGGGCUCCGAGCCCAACUAGUGUCGGAGAGAAGUUGUUAAGCGAGCUGCUGGGAAGUACGGUCGCAAGGCUGAAACUUAAGGAAUUGGCGGGGGAGCACAGCAACGGGUGGAGCGUGCGUUUAAUGGAUCACGCGGAAAUC